rnacentral:rRNA from 1 species
GACGAAGGGGGCUAGCGUUGUUCGGAAUUACUGGGCGUAAAGCGCGUGUAGGCGGUUGCCCAAGUCGGGUGUGAAAGCCUUGAGCUCAACUCAAGAAAUGCACUCGGUACUGGGUGACUAGAGGACCGGAGAGGAUAGUGGAAUUCCCAGUGUAGUGGUAGAAAUACGUAGAGAUGGAAGAACACCAGUGGCGAAGGCGGCUAUCUGGACGGUUUCUGACGCUAAGACGCGAAAGCGUGGGGAGCAAACAGG